CCUACGGGAGGCUGCAGUGAGGAAUAUUGGUCAAUGGGCGAGAGCCUGAACCAGCCAAGUCGCGUGAGGGAGUGCUGCCCUAUGGGUUGUAAACCUCUUUUGUCGGGGAGCAAAAGCCGGACGUGUCCGGCUGUGAGAGUACCCGAAGAAAAAGCAUCGGCUAACUCCGUGCCAGCAGCCGCGGUAAUACGGAGGAUGCGAGCGUUAUCCGGAUUUAUUGGGGUUAAAGGGUGCGCAGGCGGAUUUUUAAGUCAGCGGUCAAAUCGUGGGGCUCAACCCCAUCCAGCCGUUGAAACUGGGGAUCUAGAGUGUGCGAGAGGUAUGCGGAAUGCGUGGUGUAGCGGUGAAAUGCAUAGAUAUCACGCAGAACCCCGAUUGCGAAGGCAGCAUACCGGUGCACAACUGACGCUCAGGCACGAAAGCGUGGGUAUCGAACAGGAUUAGAUACCCGAGUAGUC
rnacentral:rRNA from 1 species